GGCAGCUUGNUGGACUGUAACUGACGCUGAGGCACGAAAGCGUGGGGAUCAAACAGGAUUAGAUACCCUGGUANNCCACGCCGUAAACGAUGAAUGCUAGCUGUUAGCGAUAUACUGUUAGCGGCACAGAGAAAUCGUUAAGCAUUCCACCUGGGGAGUACGCCGGCAACGGUGAAACUCAAAGGAAUUGACGGGGGCCCGCACAAGCGGAGGAACAUGUGGUUUAAUUCGAUGAUACGCGAGGAACCUUACCUGGGCUUAAAUUGCAGUGGAAUAACGUGGAAACAUGUUAGCCUUCGGGCCGCUGUGAAGGUGCUGCAUGGUUGUCGUCAGCUCGUGCCGUGAGGUGUCGGCUUAAGUGCCAUAACGAGCGCAACCCUCAUCGAUAGUUACUAACAGGUUAAGCUGAGGACUCUAUCGAGACUGCCGACGUAAGUCGUGAGGAAGGUGGGGAUGACGUCAAAUCAGCACGGCCCUUACGUCCAGGGCUACACACGUGUUACAAUGGGGGGUACAAAGGGCAGCUACCUGGCGACAGGAUGCUAAUCUCAAAAACCUCUCUCAGUUCGGAUUGGAGUCUGCAACCCGACUCCAUGAAGCUGGAUUCGCUAGUAAUCGCGCAUCAGCCACGGCGCGGUGAAUACGUUCCCGGGCCUUGUACACACCGCCCGUCAAGCCAUGGGAGCCGGGGGGACCUGAAGUAUGCAACCGUAAGGAGCGUCCUAGGGUAAAACUGGUGACUGGGGCU
rnacentral:rRNA from 1 species